rnacentral:rRNA from 1 species
GAUGAACGCUGGCGGCGUGCCUAAUACAUGCAAGUCGAGCGAAUGGAUUAAGAGCUUGCUCUUAUGAAGUUAGCGGCGGACGGGUGAGUAACACGUGGGUAACCUGCCCAUAAGACUGGGAUAACUCCGGGAAACCGGGGCUAAUACCGGAUAACAUUUUGAACCGCAUGGUUCGAAAUUGAAAGGCGGCUUCGGCUGUCACUUAUGGAUGGACCCGCGUCGCAUUAGCUAGUUGGUGAGGUAACGGCUCACCAAGGCAACGAUGCGUAGCCAACCUGAGAGGGUGAUCGGCCACAAUGGGACGGAGAAACGGCCCAGACUCCUACGGGAGGCAGCAGUAGGGAAUCUUCCGCAAUGGACGAAAGUCUGACGGAGCAACGCCGCGUGAGUGAUGAAGGCUUUCGGGUCGUAAAACUCUGUUGUUAGGGAAGAACAAGUGCUAGUUGAAUAAGCUGGCACCUUGACGGUACCUAACCAGAAAGCCACGGCUAACUACGUGCCAGCAGCCGCCGUAA